rfam:Galdieria sulphuraria unplaced genomic scaffold scaf_26, whole genome shotgun sequence.
GGGGGCGUGGCGCAACGGUAGCGCGUCUGACUCCAGAUCAGAAGGUUGCGUGUUCGAUUCACGUCGCCCUCA